UACGUAGGGACCGAGCGUUGUCCGGAUUCAUUGGGCGUAAAGAGCUCGUAGGCGGCUGUUCAAGUCGAACGUGAAAACUCGGAGCUCAACUCCGAGCCUGCGUUCGAUACUGGACGGCUAGAGUCUGGUAGGGGGAUCUGGAAUUCCUGGUGUAGCGGUGGAAUGCGCAGAUAUCAGGAAGAACACCCGUGGCGAAAGCGGCUCUCUGGAACGGUACUGACGCUGAGACGCGAAAGCGUGGGGAGCGAACAGG
rnacentral:rRNA from 1 species